rnacentral:rRNA from 1 species
AUGGGCAUUACGUGUGUGACAAGUAGUCUGAGCUUCACCAGCCACCUCCGAUCAGGGCCGUCGCCCCGAGAUCCAGACCAAGCGUGGUCGCUCACCGACAACUCCCAGCCGCCCCGCCUUCCUCCUGGCGGUGGUCCCCACCAACACCACGCCCCACCGCCGCGGGAUCCAACAGCCGCACCGUCGUGGAUAGGAUCGAACGCCACCCUCACGAUCCAGGGCGCCCCGCACCACCCUAAAACAAAUAUGAUAAGCAUUGACCGAAUUAGUACAUGGACCAAACAGGUCCAGCAUCCCUCGCCGGCCGCAAAGGGCAAGAAAAUGACAUGCGGCCCCCAGGCGGAGAGCUGGUUCCAGUCCCCAGCCCUGGCUAACCUGGAGGAGCUCGACAUUAAGCUCCUCCCUGCACGACCCAAGGUGAGAUUCUCGCUGCCACCAUCCGCUCUCUCCUCCCCGGCCCUCCUCGUUGUGAAGGUCGCCUAUUGUUCUAUCCCCGACGAGAUCUCCAUGGACUUCCCACUCCUCAAGCACAUCUCCUUCCUUGACGUUUCCAUCUCCGGGGACGUGUUCCAUGGCUUGCUCUCUGCAUGCCGCGCCUUGGAGAGCUUUUAUAUGUCCAAUGUUCAUACUGCGGGUUGCCUCCGUGUCAGUUCGCCGACUCUUAGGAGCAUCGGCUUCAGCAAAGAAUAUUGUGGGAAAUCAGAUAUCAUCAUUGAGGAUGCUCCUCUCCUUGUGAGGUUCAUUUUACCUUGUACUUAUAAUUGUGUGGCUAUCCGGGUAGUUAGGGCGCCAAAACUCCAGAUAUUGGGCCCUUUAUUUAUCGCCAUCUCCACGAUAGUUGUCUCCCAGGGAAUAAGCCCAGACAGCUCGGCAAACUCCAUGCGCACUGUGAAGGUUUUGUCUCUCAGGUGUUCUGGCGAGGAAUUGGAUGCGGUUGUUAACGUCCUCAGGUGGUUUCCCUGUUUGCAAAAACUCUACAUCGUUGGUACUCUUUUGGUCAGAUGGAACAGUGUCAUGAGUUCGAUGGAGAGGGCAGUUUACUUGUCACUCUCCUAUGGUUCUACGUGUAGGUGCUAA